AUGGCUGCCAAGGACAAGCUUCUUUGCGAGUGUUGGCGAGACAUUGGACAAGACCCUAAGACGGGCGCCGAACAAAAGCAUUCAACCUUUUGGAUUCGUGUCCACCGAGAGUUUCAUGAGCGCAAGAAGUUUCUGUCUUACCAAAUUGUGAGCACGCGCGGGUGGGUGUCCAUUUCCAAGCGAUGGAGGGUGAUCCAACAAGAGUGCAACAAGUUUUGUGCCACUCUUGAGAGCAUCAAGGCCCGCCCCGUGAGCGGCAUCAGCAUGCAAGACAUGGUAUGUUAG
rnacentral:rRNA from 1 species